CCUACGGGAGACAGCAGUGGGGGAUAUUGCACAAUGGGGGAAACCCUGAUGCAGCGACGCCGCGUGGGUGAAGAAGUAUUUCGGUAUGUAAAGCCCUAUCAGCAGGGAAGAAAGAAGACGGUACCUGACUAAGAAGCCCCGGCUAACUACGUGCCAGCAGCCGCGGUAAUACCUAGGGGGCGAGCGUUAUCCGGAUUCACUGGGUGUAAAGGGAGCGUAGACGGCCGUGCAAGCCAGGAGUGAAAGCCCGGGGCCCAACCCCGGGACUGCUCUUGGAACUGUGCGGCUGGAGUGCGGGAGGGGCAGGCGGAAUUCCUGGUGUAGCGGUGAAAUGCGUAGAUAUCAGGAGGAACACCGGCGGCGAAGGCGGCCUGCUGGACCGCGACUGACGUUGAGGCUCGAAAGCGUGGGGAGCGAACAGGAUUAGAUACCCGUGUAGUC
rnacentral:rRNA from 1 species